rnacentral:rRNA from 1 species
UACGGGGGGGGCAAGCGUUGUUCGGAGUUACUGGGCGUAAAGGGUGUGUAGGCGGUUGUUUAAGUUUGGUGUGAAAUCUCCCGGCUCAACCGGGAGGGUGCGCCGAAUACUGAAUAACUAGAGUGCGGGAGAGGAAAGUGGAAUUCCUGGUGUAGCGGUGAAAUGCGUAGAUAUCAGGAGGAACACCGGUGGUGUAGACGGCUUUCUGGACCGUAACUGACGCUGAGACACGAAAGCGUGGGUAGCAAAAAGG